GGCAUGACAAUCCAAUCCAAUCAGUUGCCUAUUUCCUUGAGAAGCAUGUCAUAUUGAAAAUAAUAAUGGCAUGAAAGAAACCACUGAUGAGAGGGGAGAAAGAUGGGAAAGAUUUUCCAAUUGCCUUCAGUACAAGCAACUCAACUGAAGAUGAUCCAAACAUUAAGAGUCAAAGGGAAGAGUAAAAUAUUUCAUUACACUUGACACCUAACUUCUCUAUUAUGUAAUUAAAAUGAGCUAACUGUACAUUUUCAGGCUUCCUUCUGUUUUGGUGCUGGUGGGGGGAAGACCAGGCGAAAGACCCAAGCAGCCAAUAUUGCUCCUAUGAAGGGGCAAAUCCAAUAAACGUAGAAUUGUUCCCAUGUAUCAUGCCAUUUGUUUACAUAUGCCCACCCAAAAGCCUGUAGAAACAAUAACUCAUAUACAUUUAGUUAGACCUAUAUAUGAUUGUUAUAGUAGUCGUCUAAAUGUGCUAAUUUGCAACCAAAGGUAAUGAUCCUCUGAAGGAACAAAAAAUGCAAAUUAAAGGAAGGAACAAAUAACUUGAACACACAUACUGACACACAUAUACAUCUAUAUGUAUAUUUACGUUGCAAUAUUUACUGGCAUAUUUAAAUUCCUAUAACUAAGACCCAAAAUAGGAAUCAUGCAAAGAAUAUAUUAUGUAAAAGGCCUGCUAACAACAAUCUUAGCAGCAAUUAGUUCUGUAAAGGCUAUUACUUUUCCUAAUGUAGGCAAUGUUUCCUGGAAAGACCAAUAAUAUCCCUGUACAAGAGAAGAAUCUAACUUUUAUUGCCUAUGACUCAACUUGCACCCGAACAAGGAUUGUGCCUCAAGAUAAUGUGAAAAGAUGCAUUUUGAUUCAUUACUCUAUCGCUACAUGAUGGAUAGACAGAAACAGGACAACCAACAUUGUCAACCAUAGUGUAAACAUGAAAUCCAUACUACGAGACACCUCAUAAUUUCUUUAGUACAUCAGAGUUCAGAGCCUGAGCUGCACAAUCGGCCUAAACAUAAGUUAGCCUAAUAUUAGAAUAGAUAAUGUCAAUAUGAGAGAGAAGUAGAAAGUUCUACAAAUUGCAAAAUGAUGGAUGCAAGAUCAAUUUGCAAAACUCAGUUUCCAUGUGCACAAUUCCUUUCUAUUCCACAGAAGAAAUUCUGGAGCAAAAUGGCAGCAACAGAUCCUAUAUUAUACCAUCAAAGAACAAGUCACAAAAACCUUUGAAAUCGACCAAAAAAAGCUGUUGCAGAUGAAAACAUAUAGUUACCAGUUUACCCUUCAAAGAUUUGUCAAAGGCAACUUUGUAAACUAAAUCCCUGUGCUUUCAUUUCUUUUCUGCACUUAUCUUCAUACAGAAACAUGUUUGCCAUGAUCCAGAAUUGUCAUCUCAGGGGAAGAGUACUAGCCUCAAAACUUUCAAAAAACAUGACAUACCAGCAUGGGCAGCCACCAAGAUCAACACCAGGGCUCACCAUUAUACUCAUUAGCACCACCAUUAUGACAACAGAACCAAACGUCCUAAACCAUCAUAUCUGCUUUGCAUAUAUAUCAAACAGAUCUUAAUCAGAACAAAAAAUGUCCACAAUUGCUCUACAUUUCUUCCCACUCUUGGCAAACUGAGUAAAUAUGACAGACAUAGAAUGCCUAGACUGUAAGGAAAAGAAGAUUAAAUGAUCAUUCCUUUCCUUUCCUCCUCAUCAUUUAUUUAUUGAUCCAGUUCAUCCUUUAAAUGAGGGAAUGAAUGAUUUAGCCUAGGUAAUUCAAGAGGGAAGGAUAAGUCAGAAUAUUUCCCUAGACCCAUUAAAAAUUUUCAGUGUAACUGAAUUAAUUUAUACUAAACAAGGCAGAAGAAGGAAAAAGGACAUAAGUUUAUCAGAAUACUCUAAAGUAUGGUAGAAAACUAGAGUAUUAGCAGGAUCUGGCCUCCCUUCCCACUUAAAUAUCAUCUUUUUGUCUAUCUCUUCUUCCACUACUUCCAGUUCUAGCAAAAAAAUAUAGAAGUCUAUCUCAAUUUCACAAAAGGUUCCCUGACCACAUUCUUUAUCACAUAAAGUUAUUCUUCUGUCAUUUCGUAUCUAUAUUAUUAUAAUCCUAGGUGUGCAAGGAAGGGAGAAUUUGAGCUUGUCAUUCAAUAAGGUAUACAAAAAAAUAGUGGCAAUUCUUAGUUAAAAAUAUAGCUAUUAUAAUAUACAGCAUAAAAACCAAAGUCAUACCCCUCUGUCCAGUAAGAUAGAGAUCUCAUAAAUACCACAAAUUUGCCUCUUCUUGAAAUUAAGCUCCCAGAUAACUUGCCUUUUUCCUUCUUAUACCCAAUAUAUUUCUUGAUUUAUCUUUUUAUCUUUUUUGGAUUUCAAUGAAUUUAAAAUAGGCAAGUCAGUAAAAUAUUGACAUAGUAUGAAGAAAGCAACCUGGCUACAUGCCCAUAAAAAUGGAAAAAGAAUAGACUACCGAGUAAGUUCCAACCUUCUGCUAAAAUGUCUCCAACACAGUUUAAUCAGCAAGGCAGUGCCAAUCAUAUAUCCAAAACAAUCUUAAAAUAAAAUGCUCAAGUAAAAUGGGGGAUAGGUAUGAGCACGAAAGGAAAUCAAAUUGAAGAGAUAGCACAGGUUAAUAUUCCACAGUUGUGUUCUGUUAAAUUUUAGUGUUAUAUAAAUACUAUAGCAAUGAAUGGCACAUCUUCGAACAAGUGAUGGCAAAAUACUUUCAGAUAGAAUAAUGACAAAAAAGUGAUUGCAAGAAGAUUAAGGCGAUUGGAAGUACCAAUACCAUAAACACAAAAUAAAACAAGAUGCAAUGCAAAAACCACAUUUAUUUUCUAUUUAACAUAUAGUUUCAUAUAAAUGUUAAAGCAAUGUAUGACACAUCUUCAAACAAAUAAUGAAAAUCUAAAUGUGUAAAACUCAUGUAAGCCAAAAUCUUGGAUAUAAUGAAAACCAAAAGCAAUCGCAAGAAGAUUGAAGCAGGCAGAAGUAACAUUAAACACAUGAAAUAAGACAAGGCAAAAC
rnacentral:misc_RNA from 1 species